GAGAGUAGGCGAAGACGGCUCGGUAAGUGUAGAUGUGAUCACCAGGUUUAAGCUCGUCUCUGUCAACCUUAUUCGUAAUCAGAUUCAUUGCUUUCUUGCUCCCUUUGCUUUGCUUUGGAGUAGAGGAGGAUGAUGAGGAGAUUCUGACGUCAGCGGCGGAGAUUGUGAUUUUGGGCGAUCAAACGAAGCAGGAGGGGUAAUAUGGUAAAUGUAGCAUGCGUGUUUAAUCGCCCUAGCGAGGCUUUUGCGAUACGACGACGUAGGUGUUCAUCUAGGAUUCUAAUUAAAUUAAUUUUGUUAAUAAUGAUGGUGACAAAAAAACAUACAGAUAAUAUGGCGAAUGAUCGUGCUGGUUAAACAACAAACUGAUUAAUGAAUAUGUCUGUUUUAUUAGUUUUUAUGAUUCUAGUGAAAUAAUGAUACAUGAAAAUGAAAUAAUAUUUUUCCUAACAACUUUUAAAAGAAGUUUGUAAGAAAGGUAUGGUUACACGUCCCAUAUGAAAGAUCUCUUAACAUUGGACUCUGAAUGGGCUUAAAGAGUACGUUUUACGGCCCAAUAAUCGAAUAAGGCUUGAGUCAAUCUCAUUUGAUUAAUUAACCAACAGUCAUUAACAUUUUUAAUUGAUGGAAUAUGCAUAUCAUUAAUCAGGUUUUUACUUGUCUCAUAGGAAUAUAACCGAUCGAGUUUUAUAGUAUAAUCAAUAAAUAAUUGCACACUCUAAAAGUUAUUUAAGCUAUGUAUGAUUUGAGAUAAACAAAAAAAAAAGAACUAAAAGCGUAGUGGAGCUAGAGGAGAACCAAAUUCAAUAAUGAAAGAAACUUCGAGGAACCUCACUUUUUGUUAUAACCAAUGAUUAUAUUUAUUUAAAAUCGAAUAUGCUAACAAUUAAUAUGCUGAAACCAGGCCGCAGAUCCUCAGACCACCAUUAUCCCAGGUCCUUAAGUGGAGUUUUUAAGAAAAGCAAUGAUUUAAUUAAAUCAAAAUAAAAGAAAAUCAAUGUAACCGAUCCUUAAUACAUAGUUUUGGUAAUCGAUCAUAAUGAAGUUUCUUAAUACACGUGUCAGCGAACUGUGAUUUAGGAUUUUUAUUUUUUUUUCUUUUCUUUCUUUCCUCUUCUCUCGUGUUUGGAUUCGAAGAAGAAAAACACAGAGACGCCCGCUUGAUCGCCGGCAUUCUGUUUCUCUCCGGCCGCCGAGUCUUUCACCUUUCGUUGUAAACCGUAAGCUUUCUUCUUCUCCUUGAAAGGUUUAUCUCUAGAGCAUUAUUGUCUUAGAUACAAACCCUAAGUUCAAAGAUUGGUCCUUUAUUGAGUUUUCACCUUCUACCAGAUGGUUAAGAGUCUCAAUAUCAAGGCCCUAGUUCAAAGAUUGGCCCUUUAUUGAUGAAGAGUCUGUAUAUUUAAAGUGGCUUGACUUUGAUUGAUUAUUGUUGUUGUUUAGUUUUUUAAGAACUUGUAUGUUCCUGUCUUGAUGGCUAAGGAAGUACAGUCUCAGAAACGGCAUCGGAGAGAGGAGGCGUGAAGGGCUCGAGGUGGCGCUGGAGUUAUGUCAAGGUUCCUUGGAUUUUCGAUCUUCUUCGAGUCCUUCUCCUCUUCCCCGGGGAUCUUAUCUUCUCCACCGUCGGAAAUGUUGUUAUGUUCUCUCUUCAUCUUCUCUGUUUCACCCAAUUGUGUUUUUUUUGCAACUUUAUAAACUUUUUCUGUUGCUCUUGCUAAUGUGAUUGUUGAGGCUAUGAAAGUUGACAGCUUGCACAGGCUAUGCUCCUCUGUGGAACCUAUUCUCCGUAGAGUUGUAUGCACUCACUCAUCUGAGAUUGCUCAAACUGGCUGAAGAUCCUGCUACUAGACCUGUUUUUGAAGUUCGUUGUGUCUCUGUAAUCGGCUAAAAGCAUCUGACACUUUAUUUUGUUGCAGAUUAACUACAGAAUACGUUUGAGGAUCGUGAGAAUGAGUGCUUGUUCUUGAUAGAGCAUUCUACCAAGCAAGAAACGAGGUGUUAGGAUUCGUGG